rnacentral:rRNA from 1 species
GGCACUUAACCCAUCUCCCUUAUCUCCUACCUCUGUCAUGGUCUCACCCAUCCCGGCUUGUCUCCUGCAAGCUGAUCCGCACCCGUCGGGGCCCUGAGGCUACCUCCCGGUGCUGCCUCUUCCAACUGCGCCGGGCCACCCUGAAAAGCUUCGCUCCGCCAUUGCCUCACUGGAUAUACGCAGGUCAGGUUGCCUCUCUCCCCGGCUUUCUCCCUUCUUCUCUCUCUAAUCUCGUUCUCUGUCUCGCACGUUUUCUCCAGGGAGCCCGCCAUGCCUCUCCGUCUUCGUCCGCCGCGCCGAGACCGCCUCCUGCUGCCGGGAGCCUGCUCUGGAGCCGCCGCCACUGAAGGCCGGCCGACGGCGAGCAAGGCCGGCCAACGCGCGCGGGUCCCUUCAUUGGCUCCAGCAAGCUCGUCGGCGGCGGGGACCAUAAGAUCCCUGUGCCAGCAGCCUCGGAUCUGGCCCGAUUCGUACGUCCACGACCUCCGCGACCUGCGCAUGCCCCUUGGUCCGGCCUAGAUCCCGCGCCGCUUCGUCUGUUCGUGUUGACCCCGAGGAGUCGUAUCUUCGGCAGACCACCACCAGUGGCUUCAUCCCUGUAUCUUCAGAUGGGCUCUCUUCUCUUUGAUUUGUUCUUGUCCCUCAUUUCCUUCUUGAUUUGUUUCCUUCUUGAUUUUGGAGACCGUUUGUUGAUUUUCUAGGGCGUACGUAUAUGAACUGGUAAGAUCAGAUGUAAAGUAGCGAGGUGGGAUUAUUUGAUGGAAGAAAGAUUC